UCAAAACAAAAAUCAUUAAAAGAAUUUCGGACUAUGGAAAUCUGAUAAAUUGACGAAUUUUAUUGAAAUUUAAUACAUUUAAGGUGGAGUGGUGGUUUUUUCGGGUUAGGUUGGGUAGGUGGUGAAUGGAAAAUUAAAUCGGUAAUUCAAGGUAAAAAUACAUCACGCCAUCACUGCCACGUAUAGGAUCACGAAAAAUUCGAUAUUAAUAAUAAAAAUGUGAAUUUAUAGGAAAGUGUAUUUUUUUUAGAUGUUUGUGAAACGUAUCUUUCUAAGUACAUAAUUUGAAUUACGUAACAACAGAUUUAUUUUUA